UACGGGGGGGGCAAGCGUUGUUCGGAAUUACUGGGCGUAAAGGGCUCGUAGGCGGCCAACUAAGUCAGACGUGAAAUCCCUCGGCUUAACCGGGGAACUGCGUCUGAUACUGGAUGGCUUGAGUUUGGGAGAGGGAUGCGGAAUUCCAGGUGUAGCGGUGAAAUGCGUAGAUAUCAGGAGGAACACCGGUGGUGUAGACGGCUCUCUGGACCGUAACUGACGCUGAGACACGAAAGCGUGGGUAGCAAACAGG
rnacentral:rRNA from 1 species